UUUUUUUUUUUUUUUUAAAUAUGGUACUCGUUGCACUUCCUGGAUUUGAGUGAGUGGUUCCUUUCCCAUGUUAGGGAAGUUUUUGGCUAUUAUCUUUUGGAAUCUUUUUUCUGUCCCCUUCUCCUUCUCUUCUCCUUUUGGCACCCCUAUAAUACGGAUGUUGGUGCAUUUAACGUUGUCCCAGAGUUCUCUGAGACUCUCUUUAUUUCUUUUCAACCUUUUUUCUCUUUUCUGUUCCACAUCAGUGAUUUCCACUAGUCUGUUCUUCACCUCGCUUAUUCAUUCUUCUGCCUCCUGUGUUCUGCUGUUGGUUGCUUCUAAUGAAUUUUUUUUCUUUUUUUUUUGUCUUUUUGUCUUUUUGUUGUUGUUGUUGUUGUUGCUAUUUCUUGGGCCGCUCCGGCGGCACAUGGAGCUUCAUUGUGUCAGAAGGUGAGAGAUGGCAAAGAAUAAAAGAGACUUGGUCCCUGCCCUCCUGGAGCUGGUGUUCCAGUGGCAGACACAGACAAUAACAUAUAAAGAAAUCAAUGACCAUGAGUAUUUAAGUGGGGAUGAAUGCUGAAAAGAAAGUUAACAGGAGAAUAGAUUGGAGGGAGGCAGCAGUGGAAGCAGGGACCAGUGAGGAGGCCACUGUGCAGCCCUAGGGACAGAUGGAAGGAACAGAGUAAUGGUUGUAAAGAGAGAUGUGGAUGGAUGCUGAGUACAUUUUGGAAACAGAAACAGUAAGAUUUGCUCAUGGAUUCGAUGUGGGAAAUGAAGGGGAGGGAGCAAUCAGUGUGAUUCCCGAGGGGUUUUUUGUUUGAUCAACAGAAUUCUUGGUAAGAUUGUAUAAGACAAGGUGAGAAAAAAAAAAUUUUUUUUUUUUGGUAGGGCCAGGGGUCCCCUCACCUGGGUUAUAUUUCCCAGUCUCCCUGCCUGUGAGUUUCUGUACUUCUUCAGCAAUAUUUAAUUCUCCUUAAAUCACUUCAAAUCAUUCCCUAAAACCAUUCUCCAUGGAAGACCAGUGUCAGAAGGAAUGAAUACUUCAUGCUCUUGGGAAUAUGGAACAAGAAGAUUCUGACAUGGUCAGAACUUCCAUAUGCGGGGAUGAGGCUCUAAAGAGAAAGAAGAAAGAAAAACAGGGUCUAGCAUGUACAGUCCUAGGCUCACAGUGGAAUUCGGGGCCCAGGGGAAUUAGGGACCCAGGCUUCUCCUAGCUUGUUGCUCAUGUGACAUGUCUUCCAGUCCCAAGGUCACCUCAUGACCCUGGGACUGCUGUGGCUCCAGCGAUUAUCUCCUCAUUCCAGGAAGCAGGAAGGAGAAAGAAAGGGUCUGGUUAGAAGGCACUUUAUAAGGACAUUUCCUGGAAGCUUUCAAUCUUCACUCAUUUUGUCGGCCAGAACUUAAUCAUGCGGUUAAUCCUAACUUUCAAGGAAGCUAGAAAGUAUAACCUUUAUUCUAGGUGGGCAUGUGCCCAGCUAAGAAAGACGAUGAGCAUGGAUUGUGGAGUUCUAAACUCUGGAGUCUCUGCCAGAGUUGACUUUUUCUGGGAAAUUCCCAGGUUUUAAUACCGUGACAGCCAAACCAGCACACCUGCCAUCUGGUUCAGCCAAGCUGACAGUUUUGCUUAGGGGAGCAAAUAUGGACGGGAUGCAUUUCUGUGCCAUGUGGGGGCAGCCAGUGAGUGGGCUGGUGAGUUAGCAGGGCCUAGACAGGGGGUGUAGGCAGAUGUGGGUUCAGAUGGCCUGAGAGGUGGGGGCAGGCGGGGCACGGGGGAGAGAAAGCCGGGAAAGGAUGCUGAGGCUCAGUCCUUGGGCUGAGCACCCAAGGAGGGCGUGGCUGCUUGCAGAAGUGGCUGCCCUGGCUCUAUCACCUUUAGGUCUCAGCAGCUCUUCUGAGGGGGAACUCUUUCACUCUCCUCUGAAUCCCAAAGUCUCUCCUCUCUCCAACCUUCAUGGAGAUGCCCUCUCAUGCUAGGUGGGGGUCACCCUCUCUGAGGGAUAAAGGAGCCUGGCUAGACCCAAACGUCCCAGGAGCUCACCAGCCCUCUCUUGUCACUGCAGUCACCCUCUGAGGCUUGUGCUCAGCUGCAUCUCAGCUCCGUGACAGUUCCCCUGCAAAUGAGACUCCCACCUAUGCUAGAUGCUCCUGCCCAGAAAGGCCUCAUAUUGUAUGGCAGAAAAAGCACUGGAGGAGUUAAGAAUCCAACGUUGUCACAGCAGCAGCUUGGGAAGCUACUGUGGCUUGGGGUUGAUCCCUGGCUUGGGAACUUUUUCAUGCCAUGGGCUUGGCCAAAAAAAAAAAAAAAAAAAAAAAAAAAAAAAAAAGAAAGAAAGAAAAAGAAAAAGCACUGGAUUUGCAGGCAAAUAUCCCUCACUUGAGUCCCUACUUACUGGCUGAGUGAACCAUAAAUACUUUUUAAACUGUAAGUGGGGGCUAGUAGUGUUCUCCUUACCUAUUUCACAAGGCUUUUUGGAAGAUUCACAAGUAUCACUUAUGUAAAAGCCCCCUUUGUUUAAAAGAAAAAAAAAAAUCUGAGCAGCUCUACAUACAAAUGUAAGGUGUCAGUAAAGAGUCUCUGUAAUUGUCCAUGUGUUUGCAAUUGAUGACUUUAUUGACACACUUUGCCAGAGAAAGUGUUAGGCUAAUAGAACAAUAAGAAUCAGUUCCUGUAUCAUACACACAUGAAAAAGUUGUCCGAUGAGUUUCCAGUAACAAGGUUUACCUUCUGGUCCUGGGGACAUCCAGAUCAUUCUGGACAGGAGAAACCCAGCUGUGCCCUUCAUUUCCUUCUCCUCCAAAGUGAGCAAUUGUUUCUAUGUCAAACGGAGACACUGUCUCAAGCUGAUAAAUUCCAAACCACACGAAGCACUUACGUGAUGCAAAAACAAGGUUGUAAAGAGAAAUGAGGCUUAGCCUGCGGCUGGCAGCACAGUGACUGGUGAAGAAACACAGCACAAAAGCACCAUGCAUCGUGCCCGUGCUCCGGGACAGUGAGCCCUUGAACUCGCAGGACCAAUGCCGAAUUUCGGCAGGUGGUAGCUCCUGCUGAGUAAUGCCAGAGGGGUCAUGGGCAUCACAGGUUUUGCUUUAUUAUUUUUAAAAGUCCUGGAACAUGAAGUUCCCUAAAAGCCCUUUUUCAAAGAAUCACAAAAUGGAAAAGGUUUGGGAAAACCAUACUUUUGUGUAUGGUAAAGUCUUAGUGAUGAGAACACCUAGAUCUGGAGUUUAGGACAGAAACCCAUCCUGAGAAUAAAAGUGAGAAUACACUGCAGAGCAAUUCACACCACACACCUCGUCAGCAUCUAAGCCAAUCUCCUCGUUAUUAAGUUCACCGUCAGAUUCAGGAUACAAAGCCGUGCCUGGCCAGACUCCAAACCUCUCAGCCUCUGCACGGUGCCCGAUGCAGGACUGGCAUUUAAUGUUUAAUGAAAAAACAGGCAAUCCACCUAAGGAAAGAGGAUGGAUGGACGGACGGACACGACCUGCCUGUGUUUGAGGAAUAACAGAGUUGGCAGAUAGGGACACCACAUGUCUCGAGUUUUCAACCUGCCUGUGUCAAUUCUCUGGACCCUGUUAGAUAAACACACACCAUCAGACUGCCUAGUUCUGCUAAAUGUGGAGUUUAUUAGUAUGAUUGGGUACAACUUUAGUCCUCCCUCUCCCAAUCCCAGGCAUGUUAAGAGUCCUCUAAAAAUCAUGCUACAUUACUUUGGAGGAAAAUACUUCUACCUUUACAUGUUUAAAGAAAUGCUAGAAAAUCCUAUCAAAAUUGGUUAUUUAUUUACUUAUUUUUUCCCGUCUCAGCUGCCUGAUUUUUAACACACUGCAUGGCGAUCUGAUGUUCCCGUGAACACACAUCCACCAGGUACCGGCUUCUUAAAUCGAUUCCUUUGCAGACACCAAAUGACACAGUCCUGGGUGUGCAAGGAGAGGCUAAAAGAAAGCCGACACGUUUCAGAUCUUCUCCCUCUUGUGAGCAGUGGCUGGUCUUUGAUUAACAAUUGCAAAUGGCCUGAAUGGAGAGAAAAAACGCUCAGCACAAGGAAAGGAAGAGGAAAGCUGGAGAAACACAAUGUCUGCAGAGCCGCAAGGGCGUCCGAGGUUGGAUGCAUUGCCCAUGACUGUGAUGCUAUGAUUCAGAGGCUGACAUGGACCCUGGCCUGGGCCAGGAGGGUGAAGGUGGAGGAGAGAGAUGUGGGUGUGGCUGUAUCCCAGAGAGGCCCCAGCACACGCCAUGGGUGUCAGUGGGGUCAGUGUGUAUAAAAUUGGACCUGAAUCCAUCUCAUACUGGGCUAAGGAAACAAGAAUAACAACGUUUUCCUGUUUUCUUGAUUUCUCAUACAUGAGGGUUUAGAACUGGGUGGAAGCCAACUUGUAACUGAACACAGUACACUUUGUGUUGGUGGUAUUUUAAAAAGAAAGAAAGAAUAAGCUUGCCCGACCCAGCACACACUACGGCAGCAGGUGGUUUUAGCUCACCACGUUUCCAUCAGACCAGACUGCCCGAGAGCAAGAGGCAAACUGAACGCACAUUUGCAGUUUAAUACCCUAUGGGAGUGCUCUGCCGAUACGUUUACACGAUAAACAGGAGGCUGCCAAUGCUUAGGCAGCAGUGCUGCCGGGUAAUACAGGGUCUCACAAGGCAUUCCGCAGCGUUCCCACGCAGCAAGGGCCA
rnacentral:lncRNA from 1 species